GAUAGGGUCAGCUAAAUAAGCUUUCGGGCCCAUACCCCGAAAAUGAUGGUUAAACCCCAUCCCCCAUCA
rnacentral:tRNA from 2 species